CCCUCAUUACUUGGCCUCCCAUAACUAGGCCUCCUCGGUGGCUCCUCCACCUCCGGACUCUCGUAGCUCGGCCUCCCAUACUGUGGCUUCCUGGGGGACCCUUCCCCACCAUAACCAUACCCGCCACCUUGUUCCUCUCCGAAGCUAGGUUUCCGACCGUACCCAGAUCCAUAUUCAGAACUCGGUGCUUCGUACUCAGGCCUCCGACCAUACCCAGAUCCAUACUCCGAACUGGGCUGCUCGAACUCGGGCCUCCGACCAUACCCAGAUCCAUACUCCGAACUAGGUUGCUCGUAUUCAGGCUUCCGACCGUACCCAGAUCCAUAUUCCGUGCUAGGCUGUUCGUAUUCAGGCUUCCGACCGUACCCAGAUCCAUAUUCCGAGCUAGGCUGUUCGUAUUCAGGCUUCCGACCGUACCCAGAUCCAUAUUCCGAGCUAGGCUGUUCGUAUUCAGGCUUCCGACCGUAGCCAGAUCCAUAUUCCGAGCUAGGCUGUUCGCAUUCAGGCUUCCGACCGUACCCGGAUCCGUACUCCGAACUGGGUUCCUCGUAAUCAGGCUUCCGCCCAUGCCCAGAUCCAUACUCACCCUCCCCACCAAAACUCGACGGCGGCUUCGGCUGAUACCCAUACUCACCACCAUCACCACUGCCUCCGAACCCUCCUUGGCCAGGAGGUGGUCCGGCGUAACCAAGGACCGGACGAGGCUUGGGACGAGCAUAGCUCUUGUAUUCAUUCUCAAGAGCUUCAUCACCGUAAGCCGAUGGUUCAGAGCAUGAUGUGUAGCUUGGGCGAUCGUAGUCUAUAUCACCGGACUUCGAGGAGAUCGGAUAGCAAGUCUCCUCCGACGGCUCCAAAGGGCGGCCAUAGAUGACCGUGAUGUCGUAGCCUCCACCAUACGGGGUCGGAUCGUACUCAUCG
rnacentral:lncRNA from 1 species